GACGAACGCUGGCGGCGUGCUUAACACAUGCAAGUCGAACGGAAAGGCCCUGCUUUUGUGGGGUGCUCGAGUGGCGAACGGGUGAGUAACACGUGAGUAACCUGCCCUUGACUUUGGGAUAACUUCAGGAAACUGGGGCUAAUACCGGAUAGGAGCUCCUGCUGCAUGGUGGGGGUUGGAAAGUUUCGGCGGUUGGGGAUGGACUCGCGGCUUAUCAGCUUGUUGGUGGGGUAGUGGCUUACCAAGGCUUUGACGGGUAGCCGGCCUGAGAGGGUGACCGGCCACAGUGGGACUGAGAUACGGCCCAGACUCCUACGGGAGGCAGCAGUGGGGAAUAUUGCACAAGGGGCGGAAGCCUGAUGCAGCAACGCCGCGUGCGGGAUGACGGCCUUCGGGUUGUAAACCGCUUUCGCCUGUGACGAAGCGUGAGUGACGGUAAUGGGUAAAGAAGCACCGGCUAACUACGUG
rnacentral:rRNA from 1 species